rnacentral:rRNA from 1 species
AGGACGAACGCUGGCGGCGUGCUUAACACAUGCAAGUCGAGCGGAAAGGCCCUUCGGGGUACUCGAGCGGCGAACGGGUGAGUAACACGUGAGUAAUCUGCCCCUAGCUCUGGGAUAGCUCCGGGAAAACCGGGAUUAAUACCGGAUACGACCACUUUAGACAUCUGUUGUGGUGGAAAGAAUUUUGGCUAGGGAUGAGCUCGCGGCCUAUCAGCUUGUUGGUGGGGUAACGGCCUACCAAGGCGACGACGGGUAGCCGGCCUGAGAGGGCGACCGGCCACACUGGGACUGAGACACGGCCCAGACUCCUACGGGAGGCAGCAGUGGGGAAUAUUGCGCAAUGGGCGAAAGCCUGACGCAGCGACGCCGCGUGGGGGAUGAAGGCCUUCGGGUUGUAAACCCCUUUCAGCAGGGACGAAGCGAAAGUGACGGUACCUGCAGAAGAAGCGCCGGCUAACUACGCGCCAGCAGCCGC